AAGGUCACUCUGGCUACAGUGGAAGAAUGGAUUGUAGUGGAGUCCUGGAGACCAUUUGAGCAGUAGUCCAGAAAAUUAUGCAACAAAGAAGACUGGGUUACAAGUUGGAGGAAUAUCUGUGACAUACUGCUAAGUGAAAAUAAAUCCUAUCACAGAUUAUGUCCUUAGCAUGAUCCUAUCUUUAUUGAAAAGCCCUACAAUCAACGUAAAGGUUACCUGGCUCUUAUUGCACAAGACUGAAGAUAAUAAUAAUACCACAAUUAAUGAGCAACUAUGGUGUACUAGGUACCUCUCCAUGUUAUUUUUUAGUUUUCAAACAACUUUGUGAAGUAAGUAGGAUGAACCUAUUUGAGAGAGGUUCAGUAUUUUGCACAAGGUUGUAUAUUCCUUCACCAUAUUUAAGGAUGAAAUCUGCUAUGUAGGUCAGAAAGAACAAAAAUACAAUGGAUGCUACAUUGUGAAGUGAAAAAUCCUGUAAUUAAAAAUUCAGAGCACCAAACAAAAGUCUGUAAAGGAAGAUCCUUUUAUCCUUCUCUCCCCAGAAAGGUCCUCCUCUCCCCAUGUCAUCGCUGACCAAAUAUCAUGGAAGCUACAUAGAGUCGUCAUAAAAAAAAUACAGGCAAACCAUCUAUAUGUCCACGAUCAUAAGAAGAGUAUCAUCCUCAGUUGAUUUUUAAAUGACAACUAAAUAUUUCAUUGACUAAGCUAUUUUAUGAGAACCUUCUUAAUGUCAUCUAUGUACAAUAUGUAAAUAUCCCUAUUAAUUUAUAAGCACGUUUCAUGUCCUGACAUUUUGAAAUGUUGACUGUGUUGCCUAUGGAUAUUUCCCCAUUAUAAGGAAU